GACGAACGCUGGCGGCGUGCUUAACACAUGCAAGUCGAACGGAAAGGCCCUGCUUUUGUGGGGUGCUCGAGUGGCGAACGGGUGAGUAACACGUGAGUAACCUGCCCUUGACUUUGGGAUAACUUCAGGAAACUGGGGCUAAUACCGGAUAGGAGCUCCUGCUGCAUGGUGGGGGUUGGAAAGUUUCGGCGGUUGGGGAUGGACUCGCGGCUUAUCAGCUUGUUGGUGGGGUAGUGGCUUACCAAGGCUUUGACGGGUAGCCGGCCUGAGAGGGUGACCGGCCACAUUAGGACUAAGAUACGGCCCAGACUCCUACGGGAGGCAGCAGUGGAGAAUAUUGCACAAUGGGCGGAAGCCUGAUGCAGCAACGCCGCGAGCGGGAUAACGGCCUUCGAGUUGUAAACCGCUUUCGCCUGUGACGAAGCGUGAGUGACGGUAAUGGGUAAAGAAGCACCGGCUAACUACGUG
rnacentral:rRNA from 1 species